CUCUAAGUCUCUCAUCUCUCCCUUGAAUGUUUUGGCUUUUUUUGCAGAUUGUACUCGAAACCUCUGUUAGAUUCUCGAAAUUUUUAAGUACAAUUGUAGUCUGCGUUUGCGUUUGUGAUGUUGUUGUUCUACACGUGAUUGUCCAAGGUUUGAUAAACGGGGCUAAAAGAUGCUGGGAUCCAUGAAUUCAGUGGCCUGAUGAAACAUAUCUCGGAGAACCCCUUUGGAGUCACUGGUUUAUAUAUCGAAAGCCAAACUUGACCAAAUCUAUGAAGCAUCUGAGAUA